UACGUAGGAGGCAAGCGUUGUUCGGAAUUACUGGGCGUAAAGCGUGCGCAGGCGGCCAUCCAAGUCAGUGGUGAAAGCCCGGAGCUCAACUCCGGAAUUGCCAUUGAAACUGUUUGGCUCGAGUACGAGAGAGGUGAGUGGAAUUCCCAGUGUAGCGGUGAAAUGCGUAGAUAUCGGGAGGAACACCUGUGGCGAAAGCGGCGCACUGGACCACAACUGACGCUGAGGCGCGAAAGCUAGGGGAGCAAACAGG
rnacentral:rRNA from 1 species